AGAGUGAACGCUGGCGGCAGGCCUAACACAUGCAAGUCGAACGGCAGCACAGGAGAGCUUGCUCUCUGGGUGGCGAGUGGCGGACGGGUGAGGAAUACGUCGGAAUCUGCCUAUUUGUGGGGGAUAACGUAGGAAACUUACGCUAAUACCGCAUACGACCUACGGGUGAAAGCGGAGGACCUUCGGGCUUCGCGCAGAUAGAUGAGCCGACGUCGGAUUAGCUAGUUGGCGGGGUAAAGCCCACAAGGCGACGAUCCGUAGCUGGUCU
rnacentral:rRNA from 1 species